rnacentral:misc_RNA from 1 species
AACAUCGCGCACCUGCGGGAACCUGCGGAAGGAUCAUUAAUGAUUGGUGGCUGUUGCUGACUAGUGUUUCUAGUAUGUGCACGCCACACCUUCAAUCCCACUUACACCUGUGCACUUUCUGUAAUAGAUCUAUGUGGAUACGGAGAUGUGAAAGUUUGCGCUCUCCUACUCUGUUGAAGCAGUCUACUACGUUUUUUUACACACACACACACAAUAGUCAUUGAAUGUAUUUUUUAUUCU